GUCCCCUAGCGGAGACAUCCUAUAAAAUUGGAACGAUAUAGAGAAGAUUAGUAUGACCCGUGCAAGGAUGACACGCAUAAAUAGAGAAUUUGGAAUCUCUGAU